rnacentral:rRNA from 1 species
CGGACGGGUGAGUAACGCGUGGGUAACCUGCCUCAUACAGGGGGAUAACAGUUAGAAAUGGCUGCUAAUACCGCAUAAGACCACAGUACUGCAUGGUACAGUGGUAAAAACUCCGGUGGUAUGAGAUGGACCCGCGUCUGAUUAGGUAGUCGGUGAGGUAACGGCCCACCAAGCCGACGAUCAGUAGCCGACCUGAGAGGGUGACCGGCCACAUUGGGACUGAGACACGGCCCAG